GACGAACGCUGGCGGCGUGCCUAAUACAUGCAAGUCGAACGAACUCUGGUAUUGAUUGGUGCUUGCAUCAUGAUUUACAUUUGAGUGAGUGGCGAACUGGUGAGUAACACGUGGGAAACCUGCCCAGAAGCGGGGGAUAACACCUGGAAACAGAUGCUAAUACCGCAUAACAACUUGGACCGCAUGGUCCGAGUUUGAAAGAUGGCUUCGGCUAUCACUUUUGGAUGGUCCCGCGGCGUAUUAGCUAGAUGGUGGGGUAACGGCUCACCAUGGCAAUGAUACGUAGCCGACCUGAGAGGGUAAUCGGCCACAUUGGGACUGAGACACGGCCCAAACUCCUACGGGAGGCAGCAGUAGGGAAUCUUCCACAAUGGACGAAAGUCUGAUGGAGCAACGCCGCGUGAGUGAAGAAGGGUUUCGGCUCGUAAAACUCUGUUGUUAAAGAAGAACAUAUCUGAGAGUAACUGUUCAGGUAUUGACGGUAUUUAACCAGAAAGCCACGGCUAACUACGUGCCAGCAGCCGCGGUAAUACGUAGGUGGCAAGCGUUGUCCGGAUUUAUUGGGCGUAAAGCGAGCGCAGGCGGUUUUUUAAGUCUGAUGUGAAAGCCUUCGGCUCAACCGAAGAAGUGCAUCGGAAACUGGGAAACUUGAGUGCAGAAGAGGACAGUGGAACUCCAUGUGUAGCGGUGAAAUGCGUAGAUAUAUGGAAGAACACCAGUGGCGAAGGCGGCUGUCUGGUCUGUAACUGACGCUGAGGCUCGAAAGUAUGGGUAGCAAACAGGAUUAGAUACCCUGGUAGUCCAUACCGUAAACGAUGAAUGCUAAGUGUUGGAGGGUUUCCGCCCUUCAGUGCUGCAGCUAACGCAUUAAGCAUUCCGCCUGGGGAGUACGGCCGCAAGGCUGAAACUCAAAGGAAUUGACGGGGGCCCACACAAGCGGUGGAGCAUGUGGUUUAAUUCGAAGCUACGCGAAGAACCUUACCAGGUCUUGACAUACUAUGCAAAUCUAAGAGAUUAGACGUUCCCUUCGGGGACAUGGAUACAGGUGGUGCAUGGUUGUCGUCAGCUCGUGUCGUGAGAUGUUGGGUUAAGUCCCGCAACGAGCGCAACCCUUAUUAUCAGUUGCCAGCAUUAAGUUGGGCACUCUGGUGAGACUGCCGGUGACAAACCGGAGGAAGGUGGGGAUGACGUCAAAUCAUCAUGCCCCUUAUGACCUGGGCUACACACGUGCUACAAUGGAUGGUACAACGAGUUGCGAACUCGCGAGAGUAAGCUAAUCUCUUAAAGCCAUUCUCAGUUCGGAUUGUAGGCUGCAACUCGCCUACAUGAAGUCGGAAUCGCUAGUAAUCGCGGAUCAGCAUGCCGCGGUGAAUACGUUCCCGGGCCUUGUACACACCGCCCGUCACACCAUGAGAGUUUGUAACACCCAAAGUCGGUGGGGUAACCUUUUAGGAACCAGCCGCCUAAGGUGGGAUAGAUGAUUAGGGUGAAGUCGUAACAAGGUAGCCGUAG
rnacentral:rRNA from 1 species